GAUGAACGCUGGCGGCGUGCCUAAUACAUGCAAGUCGAGCGAACGGACGAGAAGCUUGCUUCUCUGAUGUUAGCGGCGGACGGGUGAGUAACACGUGGAUAACCUACCUAUAAGACUGGGAUAACUUCGGGAAACCGGAGCUAAUACCGGAUGAUAUUUUGAACCGCAUGGUUCAAAAGUGAAAGACGGUCUUGCUGUCACUUAUAGAUUGAUCCGCGUUGCAUUAGCUAGUUGGUAAGGUAACGGCUUACCAAGGCAACGAUGCAUAGCCGACCUGAGAGGGUGAUCGGCCACACUGGAGCUGAGACGCGGUCCAGACUCCGACGGGAGGCAGCAGUAGGGAAUCUUCCGCAAUGGGCGAAAGCCUGACGGAGCAACGCCGCGUGAGUGAUGAAGGUCUUCGGAUCGUAAAACUCUGUUAUUAGGGAAGAACAUAUGUGUAAGUAACUGUGCACAUCUUGACGGUACCUAAGCAGAAAGCCACGGCUAACUACGU
rnacentral:rRNA from 1 species